rnacentral:rRNA from 1 species
GACGAACGCUGGCGGCGUGCUUAACACAUGCAAGUCGAACGGAAAGGCCCUGCUUUUGUGGGGUGCUCGAGUGGCGAACGGGUGAGUAACACGUGAGUAACCUGCCCUUGACUUUGGGAUAACUUCAGGAAACUGGGGCUAAUACCGGAUAGGAGCUCCUGCUGCAUGGUGGGGGUUGGAAAGUUUCGGCGGUUGGGGAUGGACUCGCGGCUUAUCAGCUUGUUGGUGGGGUAGUGGCUUACCAAGGCUUUGACGGGUAGCCGGCCUGAGAGGGUGACCGGCCACAUUGGGACUGAGAUACGGCCCAGACUCCUACGGGAGGCAGCAGUGGGGAAUAUUGCACAAUGGGCGGAAGCCUGAUGCAGCAACGCCGCGUGCGGGAUGACGGCCUUAGGGUUGUAAACCGCUUUCGCCUGUGACGAAGAGUGAGUGACGGUAAUGGGUAAAGAAGCACCGGCUAACUACGUG